CCGAAUGGGGAAACCCAGUGUGAUUCGUCACACUAUCAUUAACUGAAUCCAUAGGUUAAUGAGGCGAACCGGGGGAACUGAAACAUCUAAGUACCCCGAGGAAAAGAAAUCAACCGAGAUUCCCCCAGUAGCGGCGAGCGAACGGGGAGGAGCCCAGAGCCUGAAUCAGCAUGUGUGUUAGUGGAAGCGUCUGGAAAGGCGCGCGAUACAGGGUGACAGCCCCGUACACAAAAGCGCAUGUGCUGUGAGCUCGAUGAGUAGGGCGGGACACGUGGUAUCCUGUCUGAAUAUGGGGGGACCAUCCUCCAAGGCUAAAUACUCCUGACUGACCGAUAGUGAACCAGUACCGUGAGGGAAAGGCGAAAAGAACCCCGGCGAGGGGAGUGAAAAAGAACCUGAAACCGUGUACGUACAAGCAGUGGGAGCACCCUU
rnacentral:rRNA from 1 species